CAUCAAUUGCUUUAAUUUCAAAUGAUAUUUCAUCAAAAUAAUGUUUCUAACUACAGAAACGAUUUCAGGACAGCCUAAAAUGGCUUGCUGAAAUUACAUGGAACGACCCCUGAGAUCAUAUCAGUCAGUUAAUAUGACCUUUAUGAAUUAUGAAGUCUUUAUGUGCAUGCAUUGAUUACAUAAAUGUUUUAACGUCUCAAAUGCUUCAGAAUUCACAAAAAGUUACGUUGGCUGAUGAAGAAUAUCUCAUAGAAGACGUAUAAGAUCUCCUAAACCUGUGUUUACCACGAACAUGUUUUUUUCGCGUUUAUCCAAAACUCCUACACUUUCACAUUGGGCUUUGACCAACAUGGCUGAAUGUGUGCUUGCAGAAAGACGCCAUUAUGUAAUAACCAGUACAGUACAUCAAAGAACAGCGAGCGUACGUUUCACUUUAACCACACCCUUUCAGCUAUUACGCUCACCAAUAAGAUCAUUUCUCUUUAGUGUAAACGGAAGAGAACAGUAACCAAGAACAAUUUCCACGUUAGCGUUUUUACUGUUGUUAUUUAGACCUGUAUUAACACCCUGGAACUCAAAAUAUGAUUAAUAAUUUCCCCAGGUAAUGUUUGAUUCGCGUUGGAAAUAGGACUUGGUGGAUAGAUGUUAUCUAGGUAACGCUAGCUAGUAGCUGUUAACAAUGGCUAACUGUAUGGUUUUUCACACUCAAUUAGCCUCCAUCAUGGAGGUGCUAGCGAAUUCAGCCGUUGCAGAGAUCUGUAAACUCGUAGACGACGACUAUGCAGUGUUUCGUUUGGAAAUAACUCAAAGCCAGAAAGAAAACCGGUCAUUGCGGAGAAAACUGCAGCUACUGGAAAUGAAGGUGGCACGGGAUCGCGCAGAGAGGACAAUGCGAGAGCGCGUUCUCGCCAGUCGUCCCAGUAGUGACAAGUCCCUCGACCGAUACAGAGGAAUGGCAAGAGGUGAAGGACAUCUCACUGGAGGCCACAGGAGCUUUGUGAAGCCAGCGGGACACAAUGCGUGUAGAGAUGACCAACCCAUAGCUAUAGAUGAGGGGAGUGGAACCUCAACCCAGCAUGUUAUCGUGAUAGAGUCAGCAGAAGCUGCAGGACCUGGGGUCAAGCAGGAGAAGACUGAAGGAGAGGAGAACUCAAGACACAGCAGAGACAUCCAGACUGGCACAGCAGCAGGAGUGGCGCUCCCUGUAGCCACGGAGGACCUCACCACCUCCGUCGCACCGCAGGUCAGGACCCGACACACCAUCAUGGAGGAGGAGGAGGGUCCAGAGGUGCUGCGGGUGAAGGAGGAGGAGUGUGAGGAGGGUCUGGGGAACCCUGUGGGGACCAUGGUCAUGGAGGACAGACUACAUCUCCUUCUGAACCCACAGAGGAACCAGCUGAGCAGCACAGGACCACACACAGUCUCACUGAGUCAGUAGACGUGGAGGAUGGGAAGCCUGAUCUGCUGCUGGUCAAAGAGGAGACAGUAGAAGAUGAACCAGAGAGCAUUGAUCUGCUGAGUGGACUAAAGAUGGGGGAGCAAGGACGAUGAGGUGCUGCUGGUGAAGGAGGAGGGGAGUGAGGCGGGUCUGGGGAACCCUGAGAGGACCAUGGUCAUGGAGGACAACCAGAUUACACCUCCUCCUGAACCCACAGAGGAACCAGCUGAGCAUCACAGGGCCACACACUGAGUCAGGAGACAUGGAGGAUGGGAAGUCUGAUCUGCUGCUAGUCAAAGAGGAGACAAUAGAAGACUGACCAGAGAGCAUUGAUCUGCUGAGUGGACAAAAGAUGGGGGAACAAGGUCAGGUAGAAAUAGACUACAUUCAGUAAUAUAUCUUCGAUGGGAGUAGUGAUGCACCCGCCUAUAUUUUUUUAUUACUGUUCUUCAUUCAUAAAAUGAAAUCAAUACAACUUUAGUACUAGUGGGUGCGGGCAUUCAUAGCCGACCGUUCAGACGAGUUCCAGCUAGUAAUUUUUUUCUGUUCUGAGCUUUAAAGAUACUGAUCAUGAAUAGGAGAUGUAAUGUGUAAUGUAAAACAUUUCCGUAAUUCAAAGAACAGCACGCACAUCCUUUUCAUUUAGCCACACCCUUUGAGCUAUGACGCCAACCAAUAACAUCCUUUCUCUUCAGUGUAAACGGAAGUAAACCAUGACCAAGAACUAUUUCCACGUUAGCGUUUUUCUUGUUGUUAUUUAGACGUUUAUUAACACAAUGGAAUUCAAAAUAUGACUAAUUUAUCUGCACAGCAUCACAUACUUACCCCAUGUAGUAUUUAAUUUGCGUUGGAGACAGGACUUGGUUGAUAGAUAGUAUAUAGGUGACGCUAGCUAGCUGCUAAGGUUAGCUAUGGCUAACUGUAUGGUUUUCCACACUCAAAUAGCCUCCAUCAUGGAGGUGCUAGCGAAUGCAGCCGUGGCAGAGAUCUGUAAACUCGUAGACGACGACUAUGCAGUGUUUCGUUUGGAAAUAACUCAAAGCCAGAAAGAAAACAGAGCAUUGCGGAGGAAACUACAGCUACAAGAACUGAAGGUGGCACGGGAGCGCGUCCUCGCCAGUCGUCCCAGUAGUGUCAAGCUCGUCGACCGAUACAGAGGAAUGGCAAGAGGUACAUUUCGCAAAGGCACAUUUUGCAGAAGGCCGAUGCUGCGGGGCUCCCUACUACACAUGUGUUCAGAUGUGUUACCCAGAAUUUAGUUUUGGUCAGUUUUUGGAAAGUAUGCAAUAAUUCCUCCAGUCCCCUGAUUACUAUCUAUCGUGCGCAAAGACAUAAUAUCAUAUUCUAACCAGAUUCUUGAUUUACUGUUUUCCCCAUUAUUUACUAAAUGAAAAAUAUAUGAUGCAUGGAACAUAAUACAUAUAUCAAUAAAUAGUAGGCCUAUAUCAAGAACUUAUGAGAAGUGUUACAUUACAUCCACUAUAUAGUGUUGAGCAUUGACAGUAAGUAACCUAACCAUCUCUUUUCCCCCAAUCACUCUCUCAGGUGAAGGAAAUCUCACUGGAGGCCACAGGAGCUUUGUGAAGCCAGCGAGACACAAUACAUGGAGAGAUGACCAACCAAUUAAUGUUGAUGAGGGGAGUGGAACCUCAGCCCAGAACGUUAUUGUGAUAGAGUCUGCAGAUACAGAGGCUGCAGGUCCUGGAGUCAAGCAGGAGAGGUCUGAAGGAGAGGAGGAUCCACAACACAGCAGCGACAUCCAGACUGGAGCGCCCCAUGUAGUCACAGAGGACCCCACCACCACCCCAGCGCAGCCCAGGGACAUCAGUAGGACGCUGAACGCCGUCCUCAAGUCUGAGACAGAGACUUUAACGAGGCUGAGGAGACUGGGCUGUCCUCCUACUCCCCGCUCAGAGUAUUUACUUUACGGUAACCAGAGCCAUAGGACGGUUCUGUCCCAUCGGGAUUCAGGUGAAGCGUUACAGACUGGCAAUGUUCCGACCUGUUCAUACGCUACAGAGACAGAGAUGAUACCUGAUGACGUGCCUGUGGGCUUAGAUACUAAUCCAAUAAGAGGGGACUGGAACCAGUACAGUAGUAGUGUAUACUCUGAAGGGUUCCUAGAUAAGAAAGGGGAUGGUCUGGUUGUAGAUGAGGUGACUGUGAAAGAGGAGGGUGACGAUCCUCUGACAUGGAAUGCAGACCAGACUCACUUAGGAGAAGGACAGUCGCAGGGCAACACUAGUGACUUCUUAGACUACAGGGAAAGUUUAGAGCCAAAUCCAAAUAUCGCAACCCACUCCCCUUUACACGCGCUCAGGGACCGCGACCCAGUGUCCACGUCGAUGGCACCUUCCGAUUCACACGGCCGCAUCCUUUUCGAUCAGGUAUUGAACUCAAACGACAAGGCUAGAGUCCAGGCUGGGGAAGGGGGAGCAACAUCAGGCGGUACUAAAGAGAAACGGUUCUUCUGCAUGUUCUGUAACAAAGGCUUCAAUUGCCCCCAGAAGGUGGAGAUCCACCAGAGGGUCCACGUAGGGGUGAAACCCUUCAGCUGUAGUCAGUGUCAAAUGCGCUUCUCCCAGGCUUGGAACCUGAAGAUCCACCAGAGGGUCCACACAGGGGAGAAACCCUACAGCUGUAGCCAGUGUCACAUGAGCUUUGCCCAGACUUGCAACCUGAAGAGGCACCAAAGGGUCCACACAGGGGAGAAACCCUACAGCUGCCCCCAGUGUGAGAAGAGGUUCUCCCACCAGCACCAGCUGAAGAUGCACCUAAAGGUCCACACGGGAGAGAGGGCCCAGUAUUACCCCCAGACUAGCGGUCACGAGUCAUGACCUCAGUUUAAUUCCACGUGACUCACGGUAACUUGGCUACUCAAACUGCGCUCUGUAAAUGAAAGGCGCUGAUGGCCGUUAUAAGCCUGCCAAACUUGCUAACGGCCUUCAAUUCGCUAAUAACCUGAUACUCAGCGCUCUAGUUAAAAUUAUAAAGUGUUGCAUUCUGAAAAUGCAGGUGUAUUGACAAUACCAUUCAAUUUCAAGUUCCACAUUUUUAUAUUUAAAUAGACUCGCUGCUAUUAUCCGAAACAUCUCAUCCAUCCUCCAAACCACACUCUCUCUCUCUGGACUCUGAGUGAAUGGGAGAGGAGAGUGAAAUGCAAAUCAAAUUGCAAUUGCGGAAAAAUGACAGUUUUAAAAGCAAAUAGGCCCACUGUUGUGACUGUUGGAGAGAUGAGGGUCUCAGCUUUCCGUAGGUAUUACAUUUAUUUCUCAACUCAAUAUGAACUGCUGGAUCACUGUUUUUUAACCAAACUAUCUGGUAGGCUAUGGCUUUGAGAUAUAGCUUAUACGGAAUGGUGCGCCUGAAGCGCACAUCUGCCAUUUGCAGUGAUUGCGUAAGCCUAUAGACAUCAUUGGGUAUGCUGCAAAUUUUAAGACAUUACAUUAACUGUUAGAUUAAUGUUAGAUUAGCUUGGUGACCCAAGCUAUAGGCUUCUGAGCGCCAAACCUACCAAGUUGAUUUAUGCGCUAUAGAAGGUUUUAAUUAUAUGCAUAGGCUUUUCUCAGUUUAUUUGUAAUUUUUACAGUUUCUAAUGUUAAAUAUUAUCCAUUAAAUUGGGAGCCACUGCCAGUAAUACCCACAUUAAUUUAUAACUGUCACUUUAGUGUUAGUUUCUUUCAAUUUGUAGCCUCCGUUUCACAUCCUUCCAUUGCCAUUCUAUUUACCUUUCUUUCCUCUGUCCUUGUAAAUGGUUCCAGAGAGUCACUAGCAUUAGUGGCUCAUAUUAGGCUUACGUUCUGCAAUCAUUUGGAUCAUGUAGCCUAUUUAAAUCAUUAUGGAACUGAGACCACACUUAGCAGUUUAAACCUGGAGCCUGGUUCAUGAUUACUGGACCAGUCAUUAGGCUACAAUUCCAUGAUUAGUGAGGGAUAAUGUAUUUAUAGGAAUAUUCUUGAACCCCUAUUGUACAAUUUUCUCACCUUCCAAUAUCUCAUUGAUUGAACUUGAAUAUGGCAACUUUCAGGAUCAAUAUUUUGCGUGUAAAGGCUCUCCAAACCUGUUUUUUUGUGAUUCAUAAAUACUUUCCUUACCCUAAAUAAUCUACAAGAUCAGAGUAUUUUUUUAAUCUACCAAUUGGUGCUGAAACAGAGGCGAAUAUGCAUAUAUUUAGAUGGCUUUCUUUCAUUGAUCCCUAAUAUUCUGAACCCGUUCUGUCGAUAUAUUCUAGUGAGUCUGUUGACAAAGUUCUAACUAAAAAGGUACAGCGUACUUAAAGGGAUUGCUUAAAAUACAUGUACUGAAAACCCUGUUGAAUGGAAACUACACAAGAAAAUCUGUUGGACAGCAAGUGGGAGGGUUUUCAGCGGUUGAAUGAAAUGUAUUUAGAGCAUGCAAGGUAACCGCACCUGCAGAGCACGUUACGCGACUGAAUAAGGUAACUCUGAAUACCAAAUACGGACAUCGACAGCAUCAUUGCGUUUUGGUACAUCAGAAGUACAUUCAUUUCCAAUGGAAUGCUGCGUUUGCCUUGCAGUUUCAGUGCGUUCUGUGUGGUACAAACCAAUGUAUGCAUCAAAUUGUAUGCUAGACUUCACAGAAAUAGUAGGAAAAGGUGAAUGUUGAAUUUUUGAUGCACACAUCCACUAAACAUGUUGGAUAACAUAUUGAAAAAUGUUUGACUGCAGAAUGUAUUAUGCGGCAUUGAUGUAAUUAGCUGUCAGUCUGAUUUGAGGCUUCAGAAGUGCAUAGGAAAGUCAUACAUUUCCAAGUCUGAAUCUGCCCCUUUGAGUUUCCACUUCAUCAGAUGGUGAAUUAGCCCAAGUACAUUUGUUAUAUAUUUUAUCAAUAAGAUGUCCCUAUUGUUGGUGAGUGCAUCUGUCAUUUUAACUGAACAUUGUGGUUACAUGAAUGAAGAAUGAAAUCAAAUAAAUCGUAUUCAUAAUGAAUGAA